rnacentral:lncRNA from 1 species
AUUUUAUUUAUUAAUCUUUAUAUUUUUUAUUUAUUUAUUUCUUUCAUCCAGUGUCUUUAUUACAUGUGGCAAAACCAUGUAGUCUGUGUAAUAAAUUUUAGCCCCAGGUCAAGUAUAGUUGAGCAAACCCAUGAUCAAAGGCAUUCCAACUAUGACCAUCAUGCCAAUUUUGAUGUAUCUAGGACUAGAUUGUUUAAUGUGACCUUCUAUUUUACCUUUUAUUUUAAUUUUUAUUUUCUGAAAAAAAAAAAAUGAUUAGGUUGCCAUUUCUAGCGAGUCAAGCCAGGAUGUAGAGGCUCUUCCAUUUGUUUAAUAAGUUUAAUCGUUUAGCAUUUAAACUGACCAUAUCCGGCCCAAAUAUUCUACUUGUUUUAUGCUCAAACUGACCAGAUCCAACCUCUCACACCUACCCUACAAUGUCGUUCUAAGAAUAAACAGCAAAAGCGAGGUAGACCAAGGAAAAUGUGGAGGGAACAGGUGGAGAGGGAGAUUGGAGGGUUGGCUUGGGAAGGGAGGACACCCAAAACCGGGCAAGAUGGUGAGAUGGUGUGAGGGUGGUUGCUAUGGCACUGAGGUAGAUCUAGCCGUCAUCGUUAGCGGGGACAAAACCUGGAUUGAAAAUGAUAGAUGGAUUAUCAUCUAUGUUUCUACAGCUGGAUGCCCUUCCUAAUGCCAACCACUCCAUGAGUGUAGUGGGUGCUCUUUACAUGCUACCAGCACAGGUGCCAGACGAGGCUGGCAACGACCAUGAUCGGUUGGUGCUUUUUAUGUGCCACCGGCACAGAAGCUAGUCAAGGCAGCGCUGGCAUCAGCCACAUUUGGAUGGUGGUUUUUACGUGCCACCGGCAUGGGAGCCAGGGAAGGCUAGUAACGGCCACUAUCGAUUGGUGCUUUUUACAUGCCAUCAGCGCAGAAGCCGGGGUCUGGUAAGCCAUGGAAGCUGCACCAGGCUCCAUUCUGAUCUGGCAGUGUUUCUACAGCUGGAUGCCCUUCCUAACACCAACCACUCUGUGAGUGUAGUGGGUGCUUUUUACAUGCCACCGACACAGGAGCCAGACAAUGGCCAUAAUCGGUUGGUGCUUUUUACGUGCCACUGGCAUGGAAGCCAGUCAAGGCGGCACUGACAUCGGCCACAUUCGGAUGGUGCUUUUUACAUUCCACCGGUACAGUAAUCACAACUACAAUUUCCAUUUGUUUUUAUUUUGAUGUUGAUGAACUUGACUCAAUAGGUCUCCUCAAGCACAGCAGGUCACCCUACGAUCCAAGGUAAGCACAGCAUGUCGUUCUGCGAUCCAAGGUACUUUGGAUGUGCUGGGGCUGCUCUGUGAAACUGGUGCAGGAAACAGCCAUGAUCUCACAUUAUUUGUCAUUAUGAAAAUAACAGAAUUUAGUAAAAUAACCUGCUGUUGAAACAUAAAUUAACCCAAAAUUUUGUAGGAAGGUUUUAAUUUAUGAUGUAUAUUUGCCAUUUAAAUAUGGCUAACCCCUAAGGGUGGAUGCUACUGUAGUUUGUAGCCCCAGGAGGACACCUUUGCAAAUACUGAUAGGGCAAAGAAAGUGUGUCUAAAGCCAGCUGGAGGAGGUGUCCUCCUGGGGCUACAAACUGCAGUAGCAUCCACCCUUAGGGGUUAGCCAUAUUUAAAUGGCAAAUAUACUUCACAAUGUGUUGCAGCUACUGUUUAUAAAUCGCUCUGAGAUUUACUAUUGAUUUUUAGUUCACUUUUAAUACAGGAAGUUUAUAUCAAAAAAGGAGGGAUGGUCUCCAGUAGGUUGGUAUUAAUUUAAUUAUAUAGAAAUGGUGGAUAAAGUUGGUUGACGGUCAUUAGUGUGUCUUCGUUAUAUAUAUGUACUUUAAUUACGAUAGUAAGAAGCUAAUGAGGGAGCUAUGGAUGCUCAGUUUGCUAGAAAUAGCAGCUAUAUCUCCCUUUAAUCACAUCCCGCCAUCUUAAAAAAAAAUGGAUACAUCAGAUAAUGUAGUCCUUGGUAGACUAUGCCUGAAAAAAAAAUUUUGAGGGAUGGUCAAGGUUAGAACACUUUGGUCAGGGCUGACCUGGGGUUAAUAAUGUAAUAAAAAUAAUAUGAGUAACCCAAUGUGUGUGUUAGGGAGAGAUGUUGCUUGACAUGCUAAAAAUAACAGCCAAAUCUCCUGAAAAUUAAAUUUUAUUGGUUUUUACGAAGGACACAUUAGAUAUUGUAGUCUUUGGUACAAGCCUGAAUAUAAGAGAGGAUGGUCACAGCUGGAAUGUCUUUAAAUCACAGGUCAGCCUGCUCAAUCAGGGUUGCCCUGGGGACAAACAGCAACCAUAAUAAGGGAUCAUUUGUAACAUAGGCCCAUGGCCUGAAAUUUUGUGGUAAGCUGGAGGGGAACAGGGGAUGCUGUAGACCCCAGUACUCGACUGUACUUUAUUUUAUCGACCCUGAAAGGUUCAAAGGCAACGUCGACCUUGGCAGAAGUUAAAGGGGCUGGAAAAAUUCUGCCUGCUUGCUCCUUUAAAAGUAAUAAUAAUAAUAAUAAUGAUGAUGAUGAUUUCAAAUUUUGGCACAAGGCCAGCAAUUUCGGGGACAAGGGGGUAAGUUGAUUACAUUAACCCACCCCAGUACUUGACUGGUACUUAAUUUGUCGACCCCCGAAAGGAAGAAAGGCUAAGUCAACCUUGGAAGAAUUUGAACUCAGGAUGUAAGCCAGAAGAAGUGCCGCAAAGCAUUUUGUCCAGCAUAAUGGUUCUGCCACCCCCAGAAU